AUACGGAGGGGGCAAGCGUUGUUCGGAAUUACUGGGCGUAAAGGGCGUGUAGGCGGCUAUUCAAGUCAGGGGUGAAAGGCCUGGGCUCAACCUGGGAACUGCCUUUGAAACUGAAUGGCUUGAGACCGGAAGAGGAUGGCGGAAUUCCCAGUGUAGAGGUGAAAUUCGUAGAUAUUGGGAAGAACACCGGUGGCGAAGGCGGCCAUCUGGUCCGGUUCUGACGCUGAGGCGCGAAAGCGGGGGGAGCAAGCAGGAUUAGAUACCCUGGUAGUCCACGCCGUAAACGAUGUGCGCUAGCCGUCGGGGAACGCAGUUUCUCGGUGGCGCAGCUAACGCGAUAAGCGCACCGCCUGGGGAGUACGGCCGCAAGGUUAAA
rnacentral:rRNA from 1 species